CCAUCUCCCAUGAGCCCGCCCCUGGCCACACCCCUGUCCUCAGGUGCCGACCCAUUAUGUUUCUCCAAGGAGGGGGCCCCUAGCUGCCGAUUUGGCUUUGAAGUACCCGAACUAUGCUGACCGCUGAGGGAAUGGAGAUGAAACACUCAGAUCCUGCCUUUGGGAUCGUCCACACCAGACCCUGAGGGACAAAUGGAGAGAUGAUCCCCCAUUGGAGAACACUAGGAGGUAAAACUGAGGGGUGAGGAGGCCACCGCCCUAUACCCAAAAGCAAGAAGCAAUCACCACAGUAACCAUGGGAAGUAAGCAAUAGAAGAAGGGAAAGAAAUGGGAUAAAGAACAAGGCUGUGUCUUGUAACACAAGUUAAGCUGACAGCAUCUUAGGCACAACAUUUUCCAAAAAUGCACUAAGACUCUCUCUCAAGGAUCCCCAAAACUAUCUCCUAGGCUGAAGGAUUUUUCAUUAAAAGAUGUUGGGGUAGGACAGUGCCAUCACCUUA